rnacentral:rRNA from 1 species
GACAGAGGGUGCAAACGUUGUUCGGAAUUACUGGGCGUAAAGCGCGUGUAGGCGGUCCGGUAAGUCCGCUGUGAAAGUCGAGGGCUCAACCCUCGAAUGCCGGUGGAUACUGUCGGGCUAGAGUACGGAAGAGGCGAGUGGAAUUCCUGGUGUAGCGGUGAAAUGCGCAGAUAUCAGGAGGAACACCAAUUGCGAAGGCAGCUCGCUGGGACGUUACUGACGCUGAGACGCGAAAGCGUGGGGAGCAAACAGG